rnacentral:rRNA from 1 species
AACGAACGCUGGCGGCGUGCCUAACACAUGCAAGUCGAGCGUGAAAGUCCCUUCGGGGGCAAGUAAAGCGGCAGACGGGUGAGUAAUACAUAGGUAAUCUACCUUCGAGCUUGGGAUAACCCCGCGAAAGUGGGGCUAAUACCGGAUAAGACCACGCAACAUAAGUUGUGUGGUAAAAGGUGGCUUGUAUUUAUACUAGCUAUCACUUGAGGAUGAGCCUUUGGCCUAUCAGCUUGUUGGUGAGGUAAAGCUUACCAAGGCUAUGACGGGUAGCUGGUCUGAGAGGAUGAUCAGCCACACUGGGACUGAGACACGGCCCAGACUCCUACGGGAGGCAG